rfam:Brevibacillus sp. CF112 PMI08_contig_104.104, whole genome shotgun sequence.
AAAACCUAAAACGACGAAAGCCCUUCCUCUCUUCCAUCCUUGCGGCUCCGAUGACCGCGCCAGUGUGAAUCGGGAUUUCAAAAACGUU